UGAGAUUCACAACUAUAGUAGCUAGGCGAACUCGCCUACCUUCUAUGAAGAUAACGAGUUCAGUCACUGGCUUUAUAAGUUGGAAAUCCCAUAUUUCUUCCUUUUGCAGGUAAAGCUCUAGAAGCCCCAAAGCCCAAACUAAAGCCUAAAGUGGCCGCGUGAGUCAACUGCUCCAUCAAAGUAGCCAACUCAACUGCCUAUCCUACGGUAAAGUUUUGCAAGACGCCUCAAGCAGGCAAGGCUCUAGAAGCCCCGAAGCCGAAAUUAAAACCUAAGUGACAACGUAAGAUCAACUGCUUCGUUGAAGCAGCCCACCCAACCUCCUGUCCUACAACAAAGUUUUGCAAAAGACAUGGCAAAAUUGAAGGAUGAAACUGUGAACACGGAAAUUCCUGCGAUGAAUGAGACAAGAACACGUGUACAAAAUAAUAUUUGUAUUAAUGAUUUAAGGGUUACAAUCUCUUCUACAAAUUUAGCCUCUAAUUCUAUCUUUGAAACGUGUAGAUGUAGUGUUGUUGAUCCAGGGGCCGUUGAGGCUUGAUCUUGGAUGAACAGUUGAUGAAUGAUGAACACUUUCUUCAAGGGCCAUUGAGGCUUGAUCUUGAAUUGGUGGAAGUUCUUCAAGGGGCAUUGGGGCUUGAUCUUGAAGAAGGAUUUCACGAAGAACGAAUAGGGCUUUCUUGAUCCUUCGGGAUUUGCCUGAGAGCUUCAGAGUUUCGAGGCUUCAAGGCUUUGGUGUGGUGUGAAUUCUCUUCCAAUUUGGGAGUAGAGAAAGUGUAUGUAAAAAAUCCUCCCUUGAUUCUUUGAUGGAUGAGCCUAUUUAUAGGCUUUGGGAAUGAAUCACCACCAUCCAUUUGUUUUGGUGGAUGUUGUAGGUGAAACUUGGUGGAUGUUGUAGGUGAAACUUGAUGGAUGUUGUAGGUGAACUUAGUGUAUGAUGUAGGUGAAGUGAAUGAAGGUUCUAAUUUUAAUACAAUGGUCAACAUUUAUUUCACCAAAAUUUCAAUGUUUACAAAUGUAAUCUUA
rnacentral:lncRNA from 1 species